GAUGAACGCUGGCGGCGUGCCUAAUACAUGCAAGUCGAGCGAACAGACGAGGAGCUUGCUCCUCUGACGUUAGCGGCGGACGGGUGAGUAACACGUGGAUAACCUACCUAUAGGACUGGGAUAACUUCGGGAAACCGGAGCUAAUGCCGGAUAAUAUAUUGAACCGCAUGGUUCAAUAGUGAAAGACGGUUUUGCUGUCACUUAUAGAUGGAUCCGCGCCGCAUUAGCUAGUUGGUAAGGUAACGGCUUACCAAGGCAACGAUGCGUAGCCGACCUGAGAGGGUGAUCGGCCACACUGGAACUGAGACACGGUCCAGACUCCUACGGGAGGCAGCAGUAGGGAAUCUUCCGCAAUGGGCGAAAGCCUGACGGAGCAACGCCGCGUGAGUGAUGAAGGUCUUCGGAUCGUAAAACUCUGUUAUUAGGGAAGAACAAAUGUGUAAGUAACUAUGCACGUCUUGACGGUACCUAAUCAGAAAGCCACGGCUAACUACGUG
rnacentral:rRNA from 1 species